rnacentral:lncRNA from 1 species
AAAUCAAGAUUCAGAUCCCAUUUUCUUAUCCACCAUGGAUUCGUCCGCAGAUCUGAUGGGGCGCACCAGCAGCAGCUGCGAGCCACAACGAUGGGGCGCGUCCGACGGCGGCGACCGCCAGUGCCGCCUGCGCCAGAGUGGUCUGCGAUGGCUGCCAAUAGAGGAAGAUGAGAGAGAGAGACAGACUGAUAGAGAUCGAGAGGCAGAGAGGGAAAAAGAGAGACAACGAGAGGUUGAGAGGCUUACCUGAGGCAGGGAGACGUUCAGGCGGCGGUAGUAGCAGCGACGACGACAGACUUCACCGGAAAAGUGGAAUUGAAGGGGGAAAUUUAGAGAGAACCCUAGGUAGCAUUAAUUUAAUGAAUUGGGGAAAGAGAGAAGAUAGAAAAAAUGGGGGGGGAGACGCCGUCAUCGUCGCGCCGGAGGCGGCAAGAACCAGCAACGUCCGCCGGAGAAGGAUGGGGAGAUAGACGGUAAAGGGCAGAAAAUGGUUAAAGGAGAGAGAACACAGAGAUUGCGUAGCAGCGUUUGAG